CCUACGGGGGACAGCAGUCGAGAAUCAUUCACAAUGGGGGAAACCCUGAUGGUGCGACGCCGCGUGGGGGAAUGAAGGUCUUCGGAUUGUACACCCCUGUCAUGUGGGAGCAAAUUAAAAAGAUAGUACCACAAGAGGAAUAGACGGCUAACUCUGUGCCAGCAGCCGCGGUAAUACAGAGGUCUCAAGCGUUGUUCGGAAUCACUGGGCGUAAAGCGUGCGUAGGCUGUUUCGUAAGUCGUGUGUGAAAGGCGCGGGCUCAACCCGCGGACGGCACAUGAUACUGCGAGACUAGAGUAAUGGAGGGGGAACCGGAAUUCUCGGGGUAGCAGUGAAAUGCGUAGAUAGCGAGAGGAACACUCGUGGCGAAGGCGGGUUCCUGGACAUUAACUGACGCUGAGGCACGAAGGCCAGGGGAGCGAAAGGGAUUAGAUACCCUAGUAGUC
rnacentral:rRNA from 1 species